rnacentral:rRNA from 1 species
CCCCUAGAUGUUCUGGGCCGCACGCGCGCUACACUGAACAGUUCAACAAGUCUUAACCUUGGCCGAUAGGUCUGGGUAAUCUUUGAACGCUGUUCGUGAUUGGGAUAGACCUUUGCAAUUAUGGGUCUUCAACGAGGAAUUCCUAGUAAACGCAAGUCAUCAGCUUGCAUUGAUUACGUCCCUGCCCUUUGUACACACCGCCCGUCGCACCUACCGAUUGAAUGGUCCGGUGAAAUCUCGGGACGGCGGCUUGGUCGCUUGCGUCCGACUGCUGAAACUUGAUUAAACCAUAUCAUUUAGGGGAAGGUGAAGUCGUNACA